rnacentral:rRNA from 1 species
UUCGGACUGGAGUCUGCAACCCGACUCCACGAAGCUGGAUUCGCUAGUAAUCGCGCAUCAGCCACGGCGCGGUGAAUACGUUCCCGGGCCUUGUACACACCGCCCGUCAAGCCAUGGGAGCCGGGGUACCUGAAGUGCGUAACCGCGAGGAUCGCCCUAGGGUAAAACUGGUGACUGGGGCUAAGUCGUAACAAGGUACC